UACGUAGGGGGCAAGCGUUGUCCGGAAUCAUUGGGCGUAAAGAGCGUGUAGGCGGCCCGGUAAGUCCGCUGUGAAAGUCGGGGGCUCAACCCUCGAAUGCCGGUGGAUACUGUCGGGCUAGAGUGCGGAAGAGGCGAGUGGAAUUCCUGGUGUAGCGGUGAAAUGCGCAGAUAUCAGGAGGAACACCUAUGGCGAAGGCAGCUCGCUGGGACGUUACUGACGCUGAGACGCGAAAGCGUGGGGAGCAAACAGG
rnacentral:rRNA from 1 species